GAGCGAACAGGAUUAGAUACCCUGGUAGUCCACGCCGUAAACGGUGGGCACUAGUUGUGGGGACCUUCCACGGUCUCUGCGACGCAGCUAACGCAUUAAGUGCCCCGCCUGGGGAGUACGAUCGCAAGAUUAAAACUCAAAGGAAUUGACGGGGCCCCGCACAAGCAGCGGAGCAUGCGGCUUAAUUCGACGCAACGCGAAGAACCUUACCAAGGCUUGACAUAUACAGGAAUAUGGCAGAGAUGUCAUAGCCGCGAGGUCUGUAUACAGGUGGUGCAUGGUUGUCGUCAGCUCGUGUCGUGAGAUGUUGGGUUAAGUCCCGCAACGAGCGCAACCCUCGUUCUGUGUUGCCAGCAUUUAGUUGGGGACUCACAGGAGACUGCCGGGGUUAACUCGGAGGAAGGUGGGGAUGACGUCAAAUCAUCAUGCCCCUUAUGUCUUGGGCUGCACGCAUGCUACAAUGGCUGGUACAAACGGCUGCAAUACCGCAAGGUGGAGCGAAUCCGAGAAAGCCAGUCUCAGUUCGGAUUGGGGUCUGCAACUCGACCCCAUGAAGUCGGAGUUGCUAGUAAUCGUAGAUCAGCAACGCUACGGUGAAUACGUUCCCGGGGCUUGUACACACCGCCCGUCACGUCACGAAAGUCGGUAACACCCGAAGUCAGUGGCCCAACCGCAAGGA
rnacentral:rRNA from 1 species